UGGGCCCCACACGACUGGCGCAGGUGGGGGACCACCGGGGAGUGUUGUGACGUCGGGGGCAUCGACCGCCUGGGUGCCCUCC
rnacentral:ncRNA from 2 species